rnacentral:rRNA from 1 species
GACGAACGCUGGCGGCGUGCUUAACACAUGCAAGUCGAACGAAGAGCGAUGGAAGCUUGCUUCUAUCAAUCUUAGUGGCGAACGGGUGAGUAACGCGUAAUCAACCUGCCCUUCAGAGGGGGACAACAGUUGGAAACGACUGCUAAUACCGCAUACGAUCUAAUCUCGGCAUCGAGGAUAGAUGAAAGGUGGCCUCUACAUGUAAGCUAUCACUGAAGGAGGGGAUUGCGUCUGAUUAGCUAGUUGGAGGGGUAACGGCCCACCAAGGCGAUGAUCAGUAGCCGGUCUGAGAGGAUGAACGGCCACAUUGGGACUGAGACACGGCCCAGACUCCUACGGGAGGCAGCAGUGGGGAAUCUUCCGCAAUGGACGAAAGUCUGACGGAGCAACGCCGCGUGAGUGAUGACGGCCUUCGGGUUGUAAAGCUCCGUUAAUCGGGACGAAAGGCCUUCUUGCGAAUAGUGAGAAGGAUUGACGGUACCGGAAUAGAAAGCCACGGCUAACUACGUG